rnacentral:rRNA from 1 species
GAUGAACGCUGGCGGCGUGCCUAAUACAUGCAAGUCGAGCGAACAGACGAGGAGCUUGCUCCUCUGACGUUAGCGGCGGACGGGUGAGUAACACGUGGAUAACCUACCUAUAAGACUGGGAUAACUUCGGGAAACCGGAGCUAAUACCGGAUAAUAUAUUGAACCGCAUGGUUCAAUAGUGAAAGACGGUUUUGCUGUCACUUAUAGAUGGAUCCGCGCCGCAUUAGCUAGUUGGUAAGGUAACGGCUUACCAAGGCAACGAUGCGUAGCCGACCUGAGAGGGUGAUCGGCCACACUGGAACUGAGACACGGUCCAGACUCCUACGGGAGGCAGCAGUAGGGAAUCUUCCGCAAUGGGCGAAAGCCUGACGGAGCAACGCCGCGUGAGUGAUGAAGGUCUUCGGAUCGUAAAACUCUGUUAUUAGGGAAGAACAAAUGUGUAAGUAACUAUGCACGUCUUGACGAUACCUAAUCAGAAAGCCACGGCUAACUACGUG